rnacentral:rRNA from 1 species
GCGGAGGAAAAGAAACCAACAGGGAUUGCCCCAGUAACGGCGAGUGAAGCGGCAACAGCUCAAAUUUGAAAUCUGGCGCAAGCCCGAGUUGUAAUUUGCAGAGGAUGCUUCAGGGCAGCGACCGGUCUAAGUUCCUUGGAACAGGACGUCGUAGAGGGUGAGAAUCCCGUAUGCGACCGGUUGGCACCCGUCACGUAGCUCCUUCGACGAGUCGAGUUGUUUGGGAAUGCAGCUCUAAAUGGGAGGUAAAUUUCUUCUAAAGCUAAAUACCGGCCAGAGACCGAUAGCGCACAAGUAGAGUGAUCGAAAGAUGAAAAGCACUUUGGAAAGAGAGUUAAAAAGCACGUGAAAUUGUUGAAAGGGAAGCGCAUGCAACCAGACUUGUCGGCGGUGUUCCGCCGGUCUUCUGACCGGUCCACUCGCCGCCGGCAGGCCAGCAUCAUCUGGGCGCGCCGGACAAAGGCGCGGGGAAUGUAGCUCCUCGGAGUGUUAUAGCCCCGCGCACAAUACGGCGCCGCUCGGGUGAGGUCCGCGCUUCGGCUAGGAUGCUGGCGUAAUGGUUGUCUGCGGCCCGUCUUGAAACACGGACCAAGGAGUCUAACAUCUAUGCGAGUGUUCGGGUGUCAAACCCCUACGCGGAAUGAAAGUGAACGGAGGUGGGAAGCGCAAGCUGCACCAUCGACCGAUCCUGAUGUCUUCGGAUGGAUUUGAGUAAGAGCAUAGCUGUUGGGACCCGAAAGAUGGUGAACUAUGCCUGAAUAGGGUGAAGCCAGAGGAAACUCUGGUGGAGGCUCGCAGCGGUUCUGACGUGCAAAUCGAUCGUCAAAUUUGGGUAUAGGGGCGAAAGACUAAUCGAACCAUCUAGUAGCUGGUUCCUGCCGAAGUUCC